rfam:Hyphomicrobium denitrificans 1NES1, complete genome.
AAUCGCUGCCCAAUUUGGGCGUUUCCUCCCUAGACUUGGGCCGUUCUUACGAACGGCCUUUCUUUAUGCCGGUC